GCUUGUCUCAAAGAUUAAGCCAUGCAUGUCUAAGUAUAAGCACCCUUAUACUGCGAAACUGCGUACAGCUCAUUAUAUCAGCAAUUAUUUAUUUGGUAAUACACUUACAUGGAUAACCGUGGUAAUUCUAGAGCUAAUACAUGCUGUUAAGCCUGACUUCUUGAAGGGCUGUAUUUAUUAGAUAACAGACCAAUAUUCCUCGUGUCUAUUGUGGUGACUCAUAGUAACUGAUCGGAUCGCACGGGCUUGCCCGCGACAAACCAUUCAAGUUUCUGCCCCAUCAGCUUUCGAUGGUAGUGUAUUGGACUACCAUGGCUUUUACGGGUAACGGAGGAUUAGGGUUCGAUUCCGGAGAGGGAGCCUGAGAAACGGCUACCACAUCUAAGGAAGGCAGCAGG
rnacentral:rRNA from 1 species